GUAACUAUUUCCCUAUACAACAUAUCUGAUUUCAACAAAAUUUACAAGGUAUGUCAAAAGACAAGAAUAAGCGUCUGAAGAAACAAAGCGAGCAUCAGAAUCCAACUCAGAUAUUAAAAAGAUAUUGGAAUUAUCUAAUAGGAAAUUUAAAAUAACUGUGAUUACAAUGGUAAAGGCUCUCCUGGAAAAAGUAGACAACAUGCAAGACCAGAUGAAAUGUUGGUAGAGAGAUGGAAACUAUAGGAAUCAAAAGGAAAUGCUAGAAGUGAAAAAACAUAGUGUCAGAAAUAAAGACCACCUUUGAUGAGUUAAUCCAUAGACUGAGGCUGAGGGGAGAAUCUGUAAAUUUCAGCAUAGGUAAAUAGAAAUAUUUGAAAUGAAAUACAAAGAAGAAAAAAAGGAGGAGGAGAUAAUAGAAUAGAAUAGAAUAGAAUAGAAUAGAAUAGAAUAGAAUAGAAUAGAAUAGAAUAGAAUAGAAUAGAAUAGAAUAGACUGUAACAGAACAGACAAGAACUGUGGAGUUAUAUCAAAAGUUGCAACAUGUAUAUAAUUGGAAUAUCAAAAAGAGAAGAAGAAGAAAAUGGAGCAGAAGAAACAUUUGCAGAAAUAAUGACUGAGAAGUUCUCAAAUUAAGAACAGAUAUCAAGCCACAGAACCAGGAAGCUUAGACAAUAUCAGCAGAAUAAACACCAAAGACUCCACACGGAGACACACCACAUUCAAACUGCAAAAAACAAAAAUAAAGAAAAAAAAAUUUAAUGAAUCUAGGAUUGGAGAACACUUUCCAUACUGAGGUAAAAGAAUACAAAUUACCAGAGACUUCUCAUGAAAAAUAAUGCAAACAAGAAGAGAAUGAAAUGAAAUCAUUAAAAUGCUCAAAGAAAAAGACUACAACCAUGAGUUCUAUAUCCAUUUAAAUUAUUAUUUCUUCAAAAAGAAGAAAUAAAAACUUUCUUAGACAAACAAAAACUAAAAAUUCCCACCCAGUGGACUUGCUCUGCAAGACAUGUUAAAAGAAGGUCUUUAGGCGGAAGGAAAAUCAUGUGUAGAUCAGAUGCUUGAAUCUACAUAAAGAAUCUAUGGCCAUACCACCCUGAACGUGCCCAAUCUCGUCUGAAUCUACAUAAAGAAAAAAGAAAGCAUCAGAGAAGUAGUUCAUGAAGGUAUACAACUUCAAGAGAACACCAUGGCUUUAGUCAAAAGGAAAGAAGCUGCGUCAUGUUGUCGGUGUUUGAAGGAAGAAAAGGCUGAAGAUAAUUCUUUAUCAGGUGGAACAGAACCUCUUAUAUGAAAACUCUCUGUUCCCAUCAUUCAAAGACUACCAGGAACACAUCUGUGAUCAACAAAGGAUGCCUGCUGAUGUUGGCUUUGAGUGACGUGACCUUCAACGCUUCCUUAAACAUGGACAUGAAAAGGAUCAGCUUCCAGCAGAUUAAGUGAAGUCAAGAAAACUACCAAGAAAAAAAAAUAAUAAAGGCAGUUUAACUUUGAAAGCAAUUUUACUCAAUAUUUCUAAUUUGCCUUUAAGACUUGUAAGAGCCUAGCUUAAAUAAACAGAUUUCUAGAUCAUUUCCUAUCAAUUAGCUAAUACUUGGCCUGAAACAGUCUCCUGGCUUUUGUCGUAUUUUAAAUAAUGUAAAGACUAUAUUAGAGGUAUGACCAACUUAAUCUCCAAAACUUUAUUUUAUUUAUUUUAUUCAGUAUUGUUACAUUUAUUUUCAAUGAGCUUUUUUUAAAAAAGGUUAUUGCCUCUACAUGUAGGUACAUUUAAAAAAAAAUUAUAAUGUGGUUUCACUAAUUCAAUGUUUAGUUAGUUUGUACAUCAUGCAUAGGAAUUUUCUAAAUACUGAUUUAUUGCCUUUCUUCUUCCUGAUUACGGUAGCCUGUCCCGAUCCCCAUGCCCUCAAAUAUCCCAAUAUUAACAAC
rnacentral:lncRNA from 10 species